rnacentral:rRNA from 1 species
AUUGAACGCUGGCGGCAUGCCUUACACAUGCAAGUCGAACGGUAACGCGGGGCAACCUGGCGACGAGUGGCGAACGGGUGAGUAAAGCAUCGGAACGUGCCCAGUAGUGGGGGAUAGCCCGGCGAAAGCCGGAUUAAUACCGCAUACGACCUAAGGGUGAAAGGGGGGGAUCGCAAGACCUCUCGCUAUUGGAGCGGCCGAUGUCAGAUUAGGUAGUUGGUGGGGUAAAGGCCUACCAAGCCGACGAUCUGUAGCUGGUCUGAGAGGACGACCAGCCACACUGGGACUGAGACACGGCCCAGACUCCUACGGGAGGCAGCAGUGGGGAAUUUUGGACAAUGGGCGCAAGCCUGAUCCAGCCAUGCCGCGUGCGGGAAGAAGGCCUUCGGGUUGUAAACCGCUUUUGUCAGGGAAGAAAUCCUUUGGGUUAAUACCUCGGGGGGAUGACGGUACCUGAAGAAUAAGCACCGGCUAACUACGUGCCAGCCGCCGCCGUAACAC